GGCUCAGGAUGAACGCUGGCGGCGUGCCUAAUACAUGCGAGUCGAACGAGGUGCUUUUGUAGCAAUACGAGAGUAUCCUAGUGGCGAACGGGUGAGUAACGCGUUGGUGACCUACCCCAAAGUGUGGGAUAACAGUCCGAAAGGAUUGCUAAUACCGCAUGUGGUCUUCGGAUUUAGAAACUGAUGACUAAAGGAGCAAUUCGCUUUGGGAGGGACCUGCGUCCCAUCAGCUAGUUGGUGAGGUAAUGGCUCACCAAGGCGACGACGGGUAGGGGACCUGAGAGGGUGGCCCCCCACAAUGGAACUGAAACACGGUCCAUACACCUACGGGUGGCAGCAGUAGGGAAUAUUGCUCAAUGGGCGAAAGCCUGAAGCAGCAACGCCGCGUGUGCGAUGAAGGCCUUCGGGUCGUAAAGCACUUUUCUGAGAGAUGAGAAAGGACAGUAUCUCAGGAAUAAGUCUCGGCUAACUACGUGCCAGCAGCCGCGGUAAAACGUAGGAGGCAAGCGUUAUCCGGAUUCACUGGGCGUAAAGCGCGUGCAGGCGGUGCGGUAAGUUGGGCGUGAAAUCUCCCGGCUCAACUGGGAUAGGUCGUCCAAUACUACCGUACUUGAGAGCAGAAGAGGAAAAUGGAAUUCCCGGUGUAGUGGUGAAAUGCGUAGAAAUCGGGAGGAACACCAGUGGCGAAGGCGAUUUUCUGGUCUGUUUCUGACGCUCAGACGCGACAGCUAGGGUAGUAAACGGGAUUAGAGACCCCGGUAAUCCUAGCCGUAAACGAUGUGAACUUGGCGUUGGUGGGUUAAACUCCAUCAGUGCCGUAGCAAACGCGAUAAGUUCACCGCCUG
rnacentral:rRNA from 1 species